rnacentral:rRNA from 1 species
GACGAACGCUGGCGGCGUGCUUAACACAUGCAAGUCGAACGGAAAGGCCCUGCUUGCAGGGUACUCGAGUGGCGAACGGGGGAGUAACACGUGGGUGAUCUGCCCUGCACUUCGGGAUAAGCCUGGGAAACUGGGUCUAAUACCGGAUAGGAGCCAUUUUUAGUGUGGUGGUUGGAAAGUUUUUUCGGUGUAGGAUGAGCUCGCGGCCUAUCAGCUUGUUGGUGGGGUAAUGGCCUACCAAGGCGGCGACGGGUAGCCGGCCUGGGAGGGUGGACGGCCACAUUGGGACUGAGAUACGGCCCAGACUCCUACGGGAGGCAGCAGUGGGGAAUAUUGCACAAUGGGCGCAAGCCUGAUGCAGCGACGCCGCGUGGGGGAUGACGGCCUUCGGGUUGUAAACUCCUUUCGCUAGGGACGAAGCUUUUUGUGACGGUACCUAGAUAAGAAGCACCGGCUAACUACGUG